rnacentral:rRNA from 1 species
UACGUAGGUCGCAAGCGUUGUCCGGAUUUACUGGGCGUAAAGAGCGCGCAGGCGGCUGGUCAAGUCCGAUGUGAAAUCUCCCGGCUCAACUGGGAAACUGCAUCGGAAACUGAUCGGCUUGAAGAUGGGAGAGGGUAGUGGAAUUCCCGGUGUAGUGGUGAAAUGCGUAGAUAUCAGGAGGAACACCGGUGGCGAAGGCGGCUUUCUGGACGACAACUGACGCUGAGACGCGAAAGCGUGGGGAGCAAACAGG